rnacentral:lncRNA from 1 species
UCUUGUCGAAUGUGAACCCAAAUUGGAGCUCAUUCGUAUCUGCAUCGUGUCUUCCCUAAACAUUUAAUUUAUCUCCAAUAUUCAACCUAGGUUUCUUGGCGAAUUUGAUCCAAGAUUUAUUCCAAUAUUUAAAUGGGUGCGGUCCUCCUCCUCUCUAUCUCCCACCCAAGUCUAACUUAUAUUCCCUCUUCCGUUGUAUUCACGUCCUCCCAUUCUUUUGUUGUCAAAAAAGUUGGAAACAUUAUCUAUAAUUUGUUUUUUGGGAGGUGCAUCCUAAUCAGAUUCGUAUCUAGGUCCUCGUUAAUACCUUCAAAACUAGUAACACUUAUCCGUUUCUUCCAAUCUCAAGAAUCUCGGGUGCAUUUCUUCCAAUCUCGGGAAUCUCGGUGUGUCUCUUCCAAUCUCGAGAAUCUCGGGUGCAUUUCUUCCGAUGUUGGGAAUCUCGGAUGCGUUUCUUCCGAUGUUGGGAAUCUUGGGUGUUAGGACUAAUUAUGGUAAUUCAAAAAUUUGUUGUUGUGCUAAAACUGCUUGAUCGGCUAGGCAGUUUAGACGAAAUACUUCAACAUCACCAUAUCAGAAGUGCGCAUACUUCACAAAAGUCACUCUCUCCUUUCUGAUUGCGGAAGCUAGGAAAGAUUGAAAAAAGGAAAUUACUUC